rnacentral:rRNA from 1 species
UACGUAGGGGGCGAGCGUUGUCCGGAUUCAUUGGGCGUAAAGCGCUUUAAGGCGGUUCGGUAAGUCGGGUGUGAAACCUCCAGGCUCAACCUGGAGACGCCACUCGAUACUGCUGUGACUAGAGUUCGGUAGGGGAUCACGGAAUCCCUGGUGUAGCGGUGAAAUGCGCAGAUAUCAGGAGGAACACCGGUGGCGAAGGCGGUGAUCUGGGCCGACACUGACGCUGUAGAGCGAAAGCGUGGGGAGCGAACAGG